rnacentral:rRNA from 1 species
GAUGAACGCUGGCGGCGUGCUUAACACAUGCAAGUCGAACGGAAAGGCCAUGCUUUUGUGGGGUGCUCGAGUGGCGAACGGGUGAGUAACACGCGAGUAACAUGCACUUGUCUUUGGGAUAUAUUCAGGAAAAUGGGGCUCAUACCGGAUAGGAGCUCCUGCUGCAUGGUGGGGGUUGGUAAGUUUCGGCGGUUGGGGAUGGACUCGCGGCUUAUGCGCUUGUUGGUGGGGUAGUGGCUUACCAAGGCUGCGACGGGUAGGCGGCCUGAGAGGGUGACCGGCGACAAGGGGACUAAGAUACGGCCCAGAAGCGUACGGGAGGCAGCGGUGGGGAAUAUUGCACAACGGGGCGAAGUCUGAUGCAGCAACCCCGCGUUCGGGAUGACGGCCUUCGGGUGGAGAACCGCUUUGGCCUGUGACGUAGCGUUAUUGACGGUAAUGGGUAAAGAAGCACCGGCUAACUACGUG